CCUUUCUCGGACAAUGACUCGUACACGACAUUAGCUACGUAAUUAAACAAUUAAAAAUCAUUAAUACACAAUUUCAUUAAAAUAUUUCCUUUUAUACCUAAACUUUACCCAAAUUCUAAUUUAAUCCCUUACCAAUACUAAUUUUAUUUUUCCCAAUCUAACCCUAUAUUCUCUCUUAAUUCUUACUAAACUCAUAUUUAACUAUUUAAUUUUUAUCAUGUUUUCAUAAUUCCGAAUUUAUUUCAAAUUAAUCCCUAAAAUUCAAAACUUAUAGUUUAAUUUACAAUUCAAUCCUUUAUUCAAUUCCAAUCAAAAUUUCUAUCAAAUACAUCCCUAAUUUAACAAUUUAUUCAACAUGAACCAUGCUUAAUAAUCUACUAACUUUCAAAAUUUCAACUUAAAUCAAGUAGUAUUUUAUUCUAGGAUUUCAAAAAAAAUAUCAAAAUUAAGAGAAAAGGGGAUUAAAUUGACUUACCAAAUUACUUUGAACCUUAAAACCCCAAAUUUCCCUUUUUCUUUUCUUUUCUUUCUUUCUUUCCUUCCUUCCUUCUCUGUUUCGUUUUGCUCUCUGUUUCUUUCUUUCUCCCUUCUCUGUUUUGUUUUGCUCUCUGUUUCUUUUCUUUCUUUCUUUGUCAUAUAUAUAUAUAUAUAAUAUAAUAUAAUAUAAAAUAUUAAUAAUAAUCAUUACUUACAUAUAUAUAUAUAUAUAUAUAUAUUAACUAGAAUAUCUCAGAUAUUUCUUUCAUUAUGCCGCCUCAACUUUAGAAAAAGGCAUAAUUGCCUAUUUGGUCCUUUUAACUUUUCUUUAAUCUAUAAUUAAACUUUUAUCCCUAUUGCAAUUUAAUCCUUUUUCAUAAUUAACUAUCGAAACAUUAAAAUUUCUUAACGAAACUUUAAUAUUAUCCUAUUGACACUUCGUAAAUAUUUAUAAAAAUAUUUACGGCUCAAUUUAUAAUAUCGAGGUCUCGAUACCUCGUUUUCGACCCAAUUUACCUAAUAAUUU
rnacentral:lncRNA from 1 species